rnacentral:rRNA from 1 species
AUUGAACGCUGGCGGCAUGCCUUACACAUGCAAGUCGAACGGUAACAGGUCUUCGGAUGCUGACGAGUGGCGCACGGGUGAGUAAUACAUCGGAACGUGCCCGAUCGUGGGGGAUAACGAGGCGAAAGCUUUGCUAAUACCGCAUACGAUCUACGGAUGAAAGCGGGGGAUCUUCGGACCUCGCGCGGACGGAGCGGCCGAUGGCAGAUUAGGUAGUCGGUGGGAUAAAAGCUUACCAAGCCGACGAUCUGUAGCUGGUCUGAGAGGAUGAUCAGCCACACUGGGACUGAGACACGGCCCAGACUCCUACGGGAGGCAGCAGUGGGGAAUUUUGGACAAUGGGCGAAAGCCUGAUCCAGCCAUGCCGCGUGCAGGAUGAAGGCCUUCGGGUUGUAAACUGCUUUUGUACGGAACGAAAAGCCUCUUUCUAAUAAAGAGGGGUCAUGACGGUACCGUAAGAAUAAGCACCGGCUAACUACGUG